rnacentral:rRNA from 1 species
GACGAACGCUGGCGGCGUGCCUAAUACAUGCAAGUAGAACGCUGAAGAGAGGAGCUUGCUCUUCUUGGAUGAGUUGCGAACGGGUGAGUAACGCGUAGGUAACCUGCCUUGUAGCGGGGGAUAACUAUUGGAAACGAUAGCUAAUACCGCAUAACAAUGGAUGACACAUGUCAUUUAUUUGAAAGGGGCAAUUGCUCCACUACAAGAUGGACCUGCGUUGUAUUAGCUAGUAGGUGAGGUAACGGCUCACCUAGGCGACGAUACAUAGCCGACCUGAGAGGGUGAUCGGCCACACUGGGACUGAGACACGGCCCAGACUCCUACGGGAGGCAGCAGUAGGGAAUCUUCGGCAAUGGGGGCAACCCUGACCGAGCAACGCCGCGUGAGUGAAGAAGGUUUUCGGAUCGUAAAGCUCUGUUGUAAGUCAAGAACGAGUGUGAGAGUGGAAAGUACACACUGUGACGGUAGCUUACCAGAAAGGGACGGCUAACUACGUGCCAGCAGCCGCGGUAAUACGUAGGUCCCGAGCGUUGUCCGGAUUUAUUGGGCGUAAAGCGAGCGCAGGCGGUUUGAUAAGUCUGAAGUUAAAGGCUGUGGCUCAACCAUAGUUCGCUUUGGAAACUGUCAAACUUGAGUGCAGAAGGGGAGAGUGGAAUUCCAUGUGUAGCGGUGAAAUGCGUAGAUAUAUGUAGGAACACCGGUGGCGAAAGCGGCUCUCUGGUCUGUAACUGACGCUGAGGCUCGAAAGCGUGGGGAGCGAACAGGAUUAGAUACCCUGGUAGUCCACGCCGUAAACGAUGAGUGCUAGGUGUUGGAUCCUUUCCGGGAUUCAGUGCCGCAGCUAACGCAUUAAGCACUCCGCCUGGGGAGUACGACCGCAAGGUUGAAACUCAAAGGAAUUGACGGGGGCCCGCACAAGCGGUGGAGCAUGUGGUUUAAUUCGAAGCAACGCGAAGAACCUUACCAGGUCUUGACAUCCCGAUGCUAUUUCUAGAGAUAGAAAGUUACUUCGGUACAUCGGUGACAGGUGGUGCAUGGUUGUCGUCAGCUCGUGUCGUGAGAUGUUGGGUUAAGUCCCGCAACGAGCGCAACCCCUAUUGUUAGUUGCCAUCAUUCAGUUGGGCACUCUAGCGAGACUGCCGGUAAUAAACCGGAGGAAGGUGGGGAUGACGUCAAAUCAUCAUGCCCCUUAUGACCUGGGCUACACACGUGCUACAAUGGUUGGUACAACGAGUUGCGAGUCGGUGACGGCAAGCUAAUCUCUUAAAGCCAAUCUCAGUUCGGAUUGUAGGCUGCAACUCGCCUACAUGAAGUCGGAAUCGCUAGUAAUCGCGGAUCAGCACGCCGCGGUGAAUACGUUCCCGGGCCU